GACGAACGCUGGCGGCGUGCUUAACACAUGCAAGUCGAGCGGAAAGGCCACUUCGGUGGUACUCGAGCGGCGAACGGGUGAGUAACACGUGAGUAAUCUGCCCCUGGCUUUGGGAUAGCCACCGGAAACGGUGAUUAAUACCGGAUACGACCACUUCUCGCAUGGGAUGGUGGUGGAAAGUUUUUUCGGCCAGGGAUGUGCUCGCGGCCUAUCAGCUUGAUGGUGAGGUAAUGGCUCACCAUGGCUUCGACGGGUAGCCGGCCUGAGAGGGUGACCGGUCACACUGGGACUGAGACACGGCCCAGAGUCCUACGGGAGGCAGCAGUGUGGAAUAUUGGACAAUGGGCGGAGGCCUGAUCCAGCAACGCCGCGUGAGGGAUGACGGCCUUCGGGUUGUAAACCUCUUUCAGCAGGGACGAAGCGCAAGUGACGGUACCUGCAGAAGAAGCACCGGCCAACUACGUGCCAGCCGCCGCGGUAA
rnacentral:rRNA from 1 species